rnacentral:rRNA from 12 species
GGAGGCAGCCACAUCGUCCUGUGAAUGCCCGAUCCCAUCACAUCUUGGAAGCGAUGCAGGGCUGGGCUGUUAGACUGAGCCACUGAGAUUGCACAAGUCAGUGCAUUCU